GGGAGCUAGAGUAAUACUCACCUUCUACUUCCUCAUCUUCAAAGAACGACGUCUCAGACUCGCCAUCAAAAAACAGAAAAGGAGCAGCUUCUUGGUCUUUCUGGGGUUUCCUCUCAUUCAUUCCUAUAACCGUCACGAUCUUUCUCUGGAUAUAGUUCUCGACUGUGUCACGCUCAACUUCUUGUGUCUGAAAUCCAAGAACAGAUAGGCAAUCUCCUUGGAAGUCUAAGUCAGUAGAGGAGAAUAUUAGGCCUGCUAUUGAUCUUGCAAGGUCAG